rnacentral:piRNA from 1 species
AACUCCAUCCUGCUAACUCUGUG